CUGGAGGACCGAACCGACUAAUGUUGAAAAAUUAGCGGAUGACUUGUGGCUGGGGGUGAAAGGCCAAUCAAACCGGGAGAUAGCUGGUUCUCCCCGAAAUCUAUUUAGGUAGAGCCUUGAGCGGACACCUUCGGGGGUAGAGCACUGUUUCGGCUAGGGGUCCAUCCCGGAUUACCAACCCGAUGCAAACUACGAAUACCGAAGAGUGAUACUCAGGAGACACACGGCGGGUGCUAACGUCCGUCGUGGAGAGGGAAACAACCCAGACCGCCAGCUAAGGUCCCAAAGUCUAUAUUAAGUGGGAAACGAAGUGGGAAGGCUUAGACAGCUAGGAUGUUGGCUUAGAAGCAGCCAUCAUUUAAAGAAAGCGUAAUAGCUCACUAGUCGAGUCGGCCUGCGCGGAAGAUGUAACGGGGCUCAAAUAUAGCACCGAAGCUGCGGCAUCAGACGCAAGUCUGUUGGGUAGGGGAGCGUUGUGUAAGCGGAUGAAGGUGUGUUGAGAAGCAUGCUGGACGUAUCACAAGUGCGAAUGCUGACAUAAGUAACGAUAAAACGGGUGAAAAACCCGUUCGCCGGAAGACCAAGGGUUCCUGUCCAACGUUAAUCGGGGCAGGGUGAGUCGGCCCCUAAGGCGAGGCUGAAAAGCGUAGUCGAUGGGAAACGGGUUAAUAUUCCCGUACUUGGUAAAGCUGCGAUGUGGGGACGGAGCAGGUUAGGUUAGCGUGCUGUUGGAUAUGCACGUUUAAGUUGGUAGGUGGGGAGUUUAGGCAAAUCCGGACUUCCUUAACACUGAGAGAUGAUGACGAGGCUCUACGGAGCUGAAGUAACUGAUACCACACUUCCAGGAAAAGCCACUAAGCGAAAGGCUUUACUAAACCGUACUGAAAACCGACACAGGUGGUCAGGUAGAGAAUACUCAGGCGCUUGAGAGAACUCGGGUGAAGGAACUAGGCAAAAUAGCACCGUAACUUCGGGAGAAGGUGCGCCGGCGUAGAUUGUAGUCCCUCGCGGGCGAAGGUUGAACCGGUCGAAGAUACCAGCUGGCUGCAACUGUUUAUUAAAAACACAGCACUCUGCAAACACGAAAGUGGACGUAUAGGGUGUGAUGCCUGCCCGGUGCUGGAAGGUUAAUUGAUGGUGUAAUCGAAAGAGAAGCUCCUGAUCGAAGCCCCAGUAAACGGCGGCCGUAACUAUAACGGUCCUAAGGUAGCGAAAUUCCUUGUCGGGUAAGUUCCGACCUGCACGAAUGGCAUAAUGAUGGCCAGGCUGUCUCCACCCGAGACUCAGUGAAAUUGAAAUCGCCGUGAAGAUGCGGUGUACCCGCGGCUAGACGGAAAGACCCCGUGAACCUUUACUAUAGCUUGACACUGAACAUUGAAUUUUGAUGUGUAGGAUAGGUGGGAGACUUUGAAGUAGUCACGCCAGUGAUUAUGGAGUCGUCCUUGAAAUACCACCCUUUAACGUUUGAUGUUCUAACGAAGAUUACGAAACGUGGUCUCGGACAGUGUCUGGUGGGUAGUUUGACUGGGGCGGUCUCCUCCCAAAGAGUAACGGAGGAGCACGAAGGUUUGCUAAUGACGGUCGGACAUCGUCAGGUUAGUGCAAUGGUAUAAGCAAGCUUAACUGCGAGACAGACAAGUCGAGCAGGUACGAAAGUAGGUCAUAGUGAUCCGGUGGUUCUG
rnacentral:rRNA from 1 species